rnacentral:rRNA from 1 species
UACGUAGGGUGCAAGCGUUGUCCGGAAUUAUUGGGCGUAAAGAGCUCGUAGGCGGUCUGUCACGUCGGCUGUGAAAACCCGAGGCUCAACCUCGGGCCUGCAGUCGAUACGGGCAGACUAGAGUUCGGCAGGGGAGACUGGAAUUCCUGGUGUAGCGGUGAAAUGCGCAGAUAUCAGGAGGAACACCGAUGGCGAAGGCAGGUCUCUGGGCCACUACUGACGCUGGAGAAGCGGAAAGCAUGGGGAGCGAAACAGG